rnacentral:rRNA from 1 species
AGAGCGAACGCUGGCGGCAUGCUUAACACAUGCAAGUCGCACGGGCAGGGGCAACCCUGUCAGUGGCGGACGGGUGAGUAACGCGUAGGUAUCUAUCCUUGGGUGGGGGACAACUGUGGGAAACUACAGCUAAUACCGCAUGAUGACCGAGGUCCAAAGCUCGCGAGAGCGCCUGGGGAGGAGCCUGCGUACGAUUAGCUAGUUGGUGGGGUAAAGGCCUACCAAGGCGACGAUCGUUAGCUGGUCUGAGAGGAUGAUCAGCCACAUUGGGACUGAGACACGGCCCAAACUCCUACGGGAGGCAGCAGUGGGGAAUAUUGGACAAUGGGCGCAAGCCUGAUCCAGCAAUGCCGCGUGUGUGAAGAAGGUCUUCGGAUUGUAAAGCACUUUCGACGGGGACGAUGAUGACGGUACCCGUAGAAGAAGCCCCGGCUAACUUCGCGCCAGCAGCCGCGGUAA